rnacentral:rRNA from 1 species
AGAGUUUGAUCCUGGCUCAGAACGAACGCUGGCGGCAGGCUUAACACAUGCAAGUCGAACGCUGUAGCAAUACAGAGUGGCAGACGGGUGAGUAACACGUGGGAACAUGCCCUUCGGUUCGGAAUAACUCAGGGAAACUUGAGCUAAUACCGGAUACGUCCGCGAGGAGAAAGAUUCAUCGCCGAAGGAUUGGCCCGCGUCUGAUUAGCUAGUUGGUGAGGUAACGGCUCACCAAGGCGACGAUCAGUAGCUGGUCUGAGAGGAUGAUCAGCCACAUUGGGACUGAGACACGGCCCAAACUCCUACGGGAGGCAGCAGUGGGGAAUAUUGGACAAUGGGCGAAAGCCUGAUCCAGCCAUGCCGCGUGAGUGAUGAAGGCCUUAGGGUUGUAAAGCUCUUUUACCUGGGAAGAUAAUGACGGUACCAGGAGAAUAAGCCCCGGCUAACUUCGUGCCAGCAGCCGCGGUAAUACGAAGGGGGCUAGCGUUGUUCGGAUUUACUGGGCGUAAAGCGCACGUAGGCGGAUUCUUAAGUCAGGGGUGAAAUCCCGAGGCUCAACCUCGGAACUGCCUUUGAUACUGGGGAUCUUGAGUUCGGGAGAGGUGAGUGGAACUGCGAGUGUAGAGGUGAAAUUCGUAGAUAUUCGCAAGAACACCAGUGGCGAAGGCGGCUCACUGGCCCGAUACUGACGCUGAGGUGCGAAAGCGUGGGGAGCAAACAGGAUUAGAUACCCUAGUAGUCC